AUGUUUAAAGGCCAUGUUAGCGAGCCCACUAUGAUCUUGGAAGCAGUUGCUUCACAAGAUCUUUGGAUUUGGCAUGCUUAUUUUGGUUUACCAGGGUCUCUGAAUGAUAUAAAUGUUCUUCAACGUUCUCCUGUUUUUACAAAGCUAGCUGAAGGCCAAACUCCUCCAGUGAAUUAUAGCAUCAAUGGCCAUCAGUACACAAUGGGGUAUUAUCUUGGAGAUGGUAUCUAUCCAUGGUGGGCAACAUUUGUGAAGAGCAUACCAGCUCCAGAUACCAGAAAACAUAAAACUUUUGCCAAGAGGCAAGAGGGGGCUAGGAAAGAUGUGGAACGAGCCUUUGGAGUUCUUCAAUCCCGUUUUGCCAUUGUUCGUGGACUUGCUAAAGGAUGGAAACGUAAAGAAAUCGGUGAUGUCAUGAAAGCUUGUGUCAUAAUGCACAAUAUGAUAGUUGAAGAGGAGCGACAAACUGGUCGGCAAAGCUGCACUUUUGAGGCAAUGGGAGAAAGAGUCACGGUCUCUCGUACUCAUGCGGAACAACUGAGCUCUUUUAUUCAGAUGACUCACCGGAUUAGAAAUCAAGGUGAACAUGAUCAGCUUAAACUUGAUCUAAUUGACCAUGUGUGGCAAAAGUUUGAAAACGAGUGA
rnacentral:rRNA from 1 species